rnacentral:rRNA from 1 species
GACGAACGCUGGCGGCGUGCCUAAUACAUGCAAGUAGGACGCAGUUGCCAACGGGUGAGUAACGCGUAGGUAACUCCCUAUUAGAGGGUGAUAACUAUUGGAAACGAUAGCUAAUACCGCAUCUUAGUAGAUGGACCUUCGUUGUAUUAGCUAGUAGGUAGGGUAAUGGCCUAAUGAGGCAACGAUACAUAGCCGAGCUGGGAGGGUGAGAGGGCAGACUGGGCCUGAGACGCGGCCCAGACUGCUACGGGAGGCAGCAGUAGGGGAACUUCGGCAAAUGGGGGAACGCUGACCGAGCAACGCCGCGGGAGUGAAGAGGGUGUUCGGAGCGUAAAGCUCUGUUGUUAAGUAAGCGGUACUUAACCAGAAAGGGACGGCUAACUACGUGCCAGCAGCCGCGGUAAUUC